rnacentral:lncRNA from 1 species
CGGCCAUGUGCGCGGCGGAGCGGCCCCGCGGCCGCCCAGCCUUCCCGCCUCUUUCUGCGGGCGUAGGAGUUGGGGCGCUAAAGUGCGGGCGCUAACCUCCGUGUCUCCCGGACGUGACCGCCGAGAGACCGGGAAUCCGGACUCCUUCGAGACUAAGCUGAGCCGCCUAGCCGAGUCCUGGGAGACGGAAGGGCGGCCGGGAGGCUAGGAUUUAACCUAAAGUGGCCCUAGGUUCAACUAGGCAGACGGGGACAGGAGUCGCUGUAGAGGUACAAGGGAAGAAGGAUGGUCGUUCUCCACGUCCCAUAACCUGAGCAGUCAGGUUUAUAACGAAGAUGAGUUGAGAAAAUCUGAGACAGCGCCCAGAGUUUAAUCCAGGAGAGCUGACAAGCUUAAAUCUAUGUUGCCCUCUGAUUUUGUGU